AGUUGUUGCGGUUAAAAAGCUCGUAGUCGAAUCUGUGUCCCGCGCCGCCGGUUCAUCGUCCGCGGUGUUAACUGGCGUGCCGCGGGACGUCCUGCCGGUGGGCUUAGCUCGCAAGGGCGGCCCAACUCAAUCCCGCCGCGGUGCUCUUCACUGAGUGUCGAGGUGGGCCGGCACGUUUACUUUGAACAAAUUAGAGUGCUUAAAGCAGGCUAAAACUUCGCCUGAAUACUGUGUGCAUGGAAUAAUGGAAUAGGACCUCGGUUCUAUUUUGUUGGUUUUCGGAACCCCGAGGUAAUGAUUAAUAGGAACGGAUGGGGGCAUUCGUAUUGCG
rnacentral:rRNA from 1 species